AUUGAACGCUGGCGGCAUGCCUUACACAUGCAAGUCGAACGGUAACAGGUCUUCGGAUGCUGACGAGUGGCGAACGGGUGAGUAAUACAUCGGAACGUGCCCGAUCGUGGGGGAUAACGAAGCGAAAGCUUUGCUAAUACCGCAUACGAUCUACGGAUGAAAGCAGGGGACCGCAAGGCCUUGCGCGAACGGAGCGGCCGAUGGCAGAUUAGGUAGUUGGUGGGAUAAAAGCUUACCAAGCCGACGAUCUGGAGCUGGUCUGAGAGGACGACCAGCCACACUGGGACUGAGACACGGCCCAGACUCCUACGGGAGGCAGCAGUGGGGAAUUUUGGACAAUGGGCGAAAGCCUGAUCCAGCCAUGCCGCGUGCAGGAUGAAGGCCUUCGGGUUGUAAACUGCUUUUGUACGGAACGAAAAGACUCUGGUUAAUACCUGGGGUCCAUGACGGUACCGAAAGAAUAAGCACCGGCUAACUACGUGCCAGCCGCCGCCGUAA
rnacentral:rRNA from 1 species